ACCUCGGAUCAGUAGAUGCCCCC
rnacentral:rRNA from 1 species